CAAGAUCCUGGGAAAUGCAUUGCAAUAGAGAGAACUGUUGACACCUUGCUGUAGAAGUCCAUAGGGAAAUCAGCGAUAAUGUAUUCACAGUCAAUCUUUUGAUUCCAUUAUUUGCCAGCUGACCAGCAGAGCCUCAUGAAGCCAAGUUGGAUGUCUGGAGAUCGUGCAGUUGGGUGUACGCCUAGAACACCCGACAGACAGAUCUUGUGAGCAAAUAGCUUUAUUUCCCUGAGCCAUUGUAGAAGCACAGCAAGUACAUAGUCCGUGACUGACGGCCUGGGUCAAAACUCUGCUUAGAAGCUCUACAUACCUGAGAAGGUUGUAUAGACCCCUCUGUGACUUGUUUCUCUGUUCUGAGAUACUGAAAUGUUAAUAGGGCCUAAUUUUUAGUAUUAAGUUGUGAGCUCAAAAUGACUAAACACAAGUAAGAUCUUCAGAAAAAGAAGUGGUGUUUCAUAACUUCCCUAGUGUUCAAUCACUGAGUAAGGUAGACACUUGGUAGUGGUUGAAUCCAGAGAGGGGAUGUGGAUGGCUCCACAGCAGGGGGGGAUAUAAGCUUCCUGUUAGCCUUUAUAUGGAGAGAUGCUUUACAGCUCAAAGAGAGUAUCUGUGAUCUCCUGUGGUUUCUGUGUCAGCCCUGUUGAGGUGGGAGGCGGCAGAGCAGGGCCUGUCAUCUGUAUUUUACAGCGGGGGCAUUCAAAUUUAGAGAGAAAAAGUGAUUCGCCAAAAGUCACUACACUGUUGAGUUGGGUGUUCAAGACAGAAAUUUAGCUGGUUCCCUGGAGAGAGAGAUCUCUGAACACCUGAAAUCAUGCCCUGUACCCCUAACCAGGGGCCCCUCAGUCUCUUCCUCAAAUCCUCCUGCCCCAUUUUCUGUGAAGGAGACAGUUGAUGCCUUGCAGGAGGUGCCUGAGCCAAGAGAAAAACCCAGAUCCUAACUCAGUCUCCCAUCUCUAGGUUUCAAUCCUCGACCCAAAACACGAUACAGUUGCCCCCAAGUGAAGCCCCUCUGAAGGAUGAGGGGAAGCCCAACGUGGGCCAUCCUUCUCUGGCAUCUUCACACCAUCAGCCAUCUCACGUGGUGCCUUCCAGGUGACCAGCUGAACACCCUCAGUGACCACGGGUGUUUGGCUCCCAAGCUGACUCAGAAGCCAGGACAUUCCAAACCAAUGGUCACACGAUGGCUCUGCUAAGAAUUGGCUUCCCUUCAACUGACCAGCUCUGGCUGGGCAGGUAUUGUGAAGUGAUUGGGAAACUGGCCACCUGGGCUGGUGCUUUGGUGGCUUCAUAAAUUGUCUGUGGCCUUCCAUGUCUCACUGGCUAUUGACUGAAGUGUCUAAGCUGCAUGGACUAAGCCUAGACUUGGCUGAGAAUGAACACAGGGCUGUUCUGGCUCUGAGUAUCCACUUUCCCUGCUCCUUCCUUCAUCCCUCAGACCCAGUUUCUACGGACUCAUCAUCCUUUUGAUGAGUCUAGACCCUUUUGUGGCAGGGGACAGAGCCUUGUCUCCUCUGGGAGGGCCCUCCCCAUAACCACAUCCUAGAUACCCCCUAAAUACCCCCAAAUAGCACACAGUGCUCGAGUCAAAGGUCCCCAAAAGCAAAUGAAUAGGAUGCCUAUCAGGAGUUGUUUCUUCCUGGGGAUGUGUCUCUCAAGACUAAUACUUAGGGUGCCGACUACAAAAUUCCUCACCCAAGCAAGAAAAAUUGCUACUCAGGAAAAGAUCCUAUGACACUGUUUAUUAGCAGGAUUGGCACUGCCAGCAGUUAAUGUCCCCUUUAUCAAGUGACAGUUGGCAAGAGGCAACCACUCACCACUGUCCCCAUCAGGGAAAGUAACAGGAUCAUCGAAAAUGUAGACUGUCAUAUGUACAACAGAAGUUGAUUGGAAAGACCCUAAGAAAGCACUUGUGUUCCUCAAGGAAAGACAAGAAGCUCACCUCAGCAACAGCCUGGCGACUCAUGACAGGAUGGGACCGCUGCUUUUCCUACUUAGGGACACCUAGAAGGACACAGAAUACGUGUCAGUACCUUGUUGGUGCUGCUCAAGAAUAACUCAGGGACUGUCCCUUGCUAUGAAUAUGGGCCAGAGCAUAUGGAGGCUUUGGUUACCUGCAUGGACUGAAUGUUACUGCUGAGCGUGGCUCAGCAGUAUUCCUUGAAAUGUGCAGUAGUAUGAGGAAAUUUUUGAGAAUAUAGACAUUGGUUAUUGUGCAGUGUCACUGGCGCAUAUCUCCUGGGGAAGGACACAUCUCUCGCUGUCUCUCCUCUCUCCCUGUCUCUCUAAUGAAUGUGUGUGUCCCUUUCUCUUAGUGUGUUUCCUUGUCUCCUUCCCUGUCCCUCAGUUUCUGUCUCUCUCAAACACACACGUGGGCAUACACAAACACACACACACACACACAAAACCACAGUGAAUACAUUGUCUUCCUCACACUGUAAACAUGGACAUAGGUUUUCCCCUGGGAUGGGAAAUCUGUCUUUUCUCCAUACCCUCAAGCCUCUUUCUUACAAGGAACCUGGAGUCAGGACAGCUCUCUAGACUGAUGCCAGCAGGAAUGCCCCAUCUUCCUGAAUAUAUGCAGUCUUUCAUCAGGAGAGACAGAGUCCAAAACGCAUACCAUUUUCCAUUGCUCUCGCGACGACCUGAAUGCACAGGAAAGAAACCCCAUCAGGGUCAGAUCAUGAUGAACACACAUUGCACUGGUCUUUGGUUCUCCUCUUGACUUUGGGAAACCAGAUGGCACACAGUGCUUGCGUCAAAGGUCUCCAAAAGCUAAUGAAAUAGGUGCCUGUCAGAAGUUCUUUUUCCUGGGAUGUGUCUCUCAAGACCACUGAGGAUGCCGACAACAAAAUUCUUCACCCAAGCAGGACAGAUUGCUGCUGACGAAAAAGUCCUAGGACACUGUUUAUUACUAGGCUUGGCACAGCCAAGUGGUUAAUGUCCCCCUGACCAAGGUGACCGUUGGCAAGAGGCAACCACUCACCACUGUCCCCAUCAGGGAAAGUAACAGGAUCAUCGAAAAUGUAGACUGUCAUAUGUACAACAGAAGUUGAUUGGAAAGACCCUAAGAAAGCACUUGUGUUCCUCAAGGAAAGACAAGAAGCUCACCUCAGCAACAGCCUGGCGACUCAUGACAGGAUGGGACCGCUGCUUUUCCUACUUAGGGACACCUAGAAGGACACAGAAUACGUGUCAGUACCUUGUUGGUGCUGCUCAAGAAUAACUCAGGGACUGUUCCUUGCUAUGAACAUGGGCCAGAGCAUAUGGAGGCUCUCUCUGCCCCUGUCCCCGCUUGCACUCUGCCUCUCAAGAUAAAAUAAAGACAUAAAAAAAAUAAAUAGAUAAACGUCUUAUUUAUUUAUUGUGUGUGAGAGAUGGGGGGGGGGGGGGAGAAGGGUAGAAGGAGAGGGAGAGAGUGAAUCCCCGGCAGGCUCCAUGCUGCCAGCACAGAGCCCAACGCAAGGCGUGAGCUCACAAACCAUGAGAUCAUGACCUGAGCUGGAAUCAAGUCGGACGCUUACCUGACUGAGCCACCCCGGCGCCCCAACACCAUCCUCUCCUUAACAGGAGUCAUUUGUCUGGCAUCAUUUUGGCCAGUCUCAAGGGAGAACAAGAGGGCAGCCGAGUGCUAUGCCCCAUCCACAGACGUUAUCUUGAAUCUUUUCCUCCAAACACCCACACCAUACUCGCUGCCCGGCAGCCUGACCCUCUGUGUUCCCCAUGAGCCUGCAGAACUUCUCACCGGCUCCCUCUGCUUUAUCCCAAGUGGGGUGUGGCAGAGGGGGGGUCUCUCCAAGCCUCACAAAUAGAGGACGCAAAUUCACCUCAACGACAUGUAGAGAUGGACAGCCAACAUUUACUGAGCACCCAGUGUAUACCAAGCCUGUCUCAGUUUUACCCAGACUGUCUCAAGUUAGCCACUCAUGCCUGCAGCCCCAUGACGGAGCACUGCUGCCCUGGGUCAUGAACGUUUUCCAUGUUUUCCUGUACCUGAAGUGUGGAUGUAUCUUACAGCAGGUGGCAUCUCACCAUCGUGACACAGUGGUCAUUGCCUGACCUCCCGCAAACUCGGUCCUAGCUGUUCCUAUGUUGCUACUUCACAUGCGGAGAACAGGUGCGAUUUUAAACGUCUUCAGAAAGAUUAGACUGUGAGUCAUCUUCGACUUAAAAGGUUUUGUGUAUGCAGAAACACGGGCAGCAGAGAAGUAAAGCACUGAUUUGAUAUUGGCCAAGGAGACACAUUCUUCACCACUACAGCCAUGCCCACAAUUCCAGAUGGCCUUGCACAGCAACAACCAAGGACAUGCACUUGUGAGAAACGCUGGGCCUCCUACACUCCUGAUCAGAGGUCAGCAAGCUUUUUGUAUAAAGGGUCAGACGGGGAGUAAUUUUGGUUCUGUGAGACAUACAGACUCAGGUAUGACCACUCAACUCUGCCGUUACAGCGUGAUAACAGCCAUACACGAUAGGUAAUGGGCAUGGCUCUGUUACAAUAAAACUUUAUUUGCAAACACAGGUGGAGCGCUGCAUUGGGCCCAUGGGUUAUAGUGUAUUGACCCCUUCUUUGGAUGGAACAGUAAACAGUAUUUGGGGGUGCUUGGGUGGCUCAGUUCAGUAAAGUGUCUGACUCUUGAUUUCGGCUCAGGUCACGAUCCCAGGAUCAUGGGAUCAAGCCGCACAUCGGGCUCUGUGCUGGGCACGGAGCCUCCUUGGGAUUCUCUCUCUCUCUCUCUCUCUCUCUCUCUCUCUCUCUCUCUCUCUGUGCAAGUGCACAUGCUCGCUCUCUCUCUCACAAAGAAAAAAAAGAAAACAGUAUUUACUAGAAAAAUACAAGCAGUGAUGACUCUAAGUCAAAAGUGAUAUAGAAAUUAAACCCUGAAAUGUGAAGAAAUUCUAGGACUGUCUUAACUAAUGAAUGUCAGUUAUAAGUUCCCUUAUGCAUAGUUAAAAAAGCAACGUAUGAUUUAAAAAAACCCUUUUACUUUUUUUUUUUAAGUUUAUUUACUUCGAGAGAGAGAGAGUGAGCUGGGAGGGGGCAGAGAGAGAGAGGGAGAGACAGAAUCCCAAGCAGGCUCCACACUGCCAGCCUAGAGCCUGAUGCAGGGCUCGAUCCCACAGACCACAAGAUCAUGACCUGAGCCAAAAUCCAGAGUCGGACACUCAACCAACUGAGUCACCCAGGCACCCCUAAAAAAAAACACCUCCUUUUAUCCAAAUCAAAGAGCUCAAAGAGCUCUUUCAAAAAGUGUCAAAUAAAAUUUCCAAGUAAUGAGAAAACAUUUUCUAGAACUUAGUAUCGUUUUUUUACUUCCUGAUGGUUAUGUUUAAAAAUGGAGCAUCUUAAAUCCAUAGCUUCUUAGAUCUGAGGAGGUAGGAUCUUGUACCCAUUGUGAUGUGGACAUUAAGGCUCACAGGGAGAAGUGACUCGCUCAGGGUCACCCCGUGAUCACAACUGCGACCACAGAGCUAGAGCGACUGGCAGCUUCCUCUGCCUCCUCCCAGCUGAGCCCAAACACCACACUGAUCCACACAGUCUCAGGAAGGGAAAGGCAGAGGGGUAUCUACUCCAUGAGGGUAGGGGUUUUGUGUGCCUGGCUCACCACCCAUCUCUGGGGCUUGCACCAGCCAGGCCUAGAGGUGAUUGAUAAAUGAUUCAACUCCCACAUCAGGCAGCCUGAAUUCAAAGCAGGACUCUGCCACUUACUCCCCCCUGUGCACAUCUCCGCGUUAUCAUCUUGGAUGACACUCCUUGCAUCAAAUAGUUGCUGGCAGCUUUAAAUGAGUUAAUAUAGUUAAAAGCACUUAUCAUGGUGCUUGACACAAAGAAAGCACUCCAUAAAUAUCAACUGUGAAGGGGGCGCCCGGGUGGUUCAGUUGGUUGAGCAUCUGACUUCAGCUCAGGUUGAGAUCUCACAACUCGUGAGUUUGACUCCGCGUUGGGCUCUCUGCUGUCAGGGUGAAGCUCACUUUGGAUCCUUUGUCCCCCUCUUUUUUUUUUUUUAAUUUUUUUUUUCAACGUUUAUUUAUUUUUGGGACAGAGAGAGACAGAGCAUGAACGGGGGAGGGACAGAGAGAGAGGGAGACACAGAAUCGGAAACAGGCUCCAGGCUCUGAGCCAUCAGCCCAGAGCCUGACGCGGGGCUCGAACUCACGGACCGUGAGAUCGUGACCUGGCUGAAGUCGGACGCUUAACCGACUGCGCCACCCAGGCGCCCCUCUUUGUCCCCCUCUUUAUGCCCCUCCCCCAUGCAUGUUCUCUCUCAAAAAUAAACAUUUAAAAAAUAUAUCAGCCAUGAAGAUACUUAUCCUGAUAUCCCAAGCAUCCAGCACAAGGAAAGUUCAGUAUAAAUACUUGCUGAUGAGUGAGUGAUAACAAAAGAGAAUGGAUGGAUGGACAGCUAGGUGGACAGGUGGGUGGAGAGAUGGACUGGAAAAUAAAUGGAUAACUAAAUAGAUGGAUGGACAAAUGGAUGGAUGCAGGUAAAGAUGGAUGGAUGGGUAGAUGGAUGGAUGGAAGUAAACAUGGGUAGGAAGAUGGAU